GGCAUGCUCUACCUGCAGCCCUGGUCUAACCUGCAGGACGUCACGACGGCGAUGUUCGUCCUCGUCACGCACGCCGACCACCUGGCGGCAGCGAGCGCUUCCCUGCAGUGCGGCGGCGUGAGGCUGCCGCCGGCGCAGCUCGUCUCGUUCGCACGGUCACAGGUGGACUACAUCCUUGGCAAGAACCCAAUGAAGAUGAGCUACAUGGUUGGGGUUGGAAAGAGGUACCCGUUGCAGCCGCACCACCGCGGCGCGUCGCUGCCAUCCAUUAGGAAAUACCCGGGGAAGAUCUCCUGCGGCAAGGGAGCCGAGUACUUCCACAGGUCUGCGCCCAACUUGAAUGUGAUUGACGGCGCCAUCGUCGGAGGGCCUGACAACAACGACCAUUACGACGAUUCUCGGGGAAAUUACCAGCAAGGCGAGCCAUCGACCUACACUGUCGCGCCCAUAGUCGGAGUUCUUGCUAGGCUUCUCCAUAACUGAUGUUCCUGACUUCCUGUUUUCGUCAAGAGAUGUGCAAUGUCAAUGCCAUCCUUGUAAUUUAGCCAGAUAUAACUUUUUUUGGAAAAGGUGGAUUGCCCUCGGUCUAUGCAUCUGGAAGAUGCAUGCAGCCGUAUUAUUAAAAAUGGUUCGUCGAACACAAAGUCUGGUAUCUGAAGUAUAACUCACAUGAGGAGCACAGAAAAACAAAGAUAAAGGAAAAACAAAGCCACAACCGGCUAGAUGCAGUGGACAUCAAGGACCUAUCAUAUUAUGCGACCAUCAUUUAAACCGGUUGAAAAUAGCCCGUGCUACCAUCUCCCAUCGAUUGCACCCAGUAGCCAAAUGCCCCCUUGGAGCCGUAGGAGUGAGUAGCAACCAGGUACGGAUCCAUGCCAUAGCUCUGAAGAUAACUUGCAAGAAGUUUAGAAUAUAUAUUAUAUUAAAAAUCAUAUCGUUUCUGCAAUUCCAUAUAGCCUAUAGGAGUGCGCAUAUUCCAAUCCGAAUAUUUGACGCAGUGUCCGAUGACACUCCAUGUAGCCACGUCCCAAACAACGCUUCUAUGCUAGAUGGAGGUGUUAUAUUAAAAGCUAUAUGGAUUGAUCGCCAAAGUAAAUUUGUGAGAGGGCAAUCAAUGAAUAAAUGUUGUAUUGUUUCAUCCUGAAUACAAAAGCAACACCGUGAACUACCUACCAUCGUCGCUUUAGUAAGUUAUCCUUGGUAAGAAUGACCUGUUUAUGCACAAACCACAUGAAAAUUUUGAUGCACAAAGGCACCUUAACUUUCAUUUAGCCAAUAAAAAACUUACACCGACAACGAUACAUGCAUUGUUUCCUUCCAAACUUUGAAAACAACUUCAACAUCACAAUAGUCCAACAUGACAUUUUAUUCCCUUCCAAAUUUCGAAAGAAAUUUCAUCAUGUAGAUCUUAAGAGAUCUUGUUUACACUAAGAGGUAGAUGCUUCAAGAGCAGGUAGACAUUCCCUUAUCACCUCUGCAGCUUGCUCCAGCUCCUUCUCCGACACGAUGAGCGUAGGCACAAGCCUCACCACAUUGCCUUUCCUGGUCGUCGGCACAAAGACACCCCCAUCCAAGCAGGCAUCGACUAAAGGAGCAGCCGGUACAUCAAGCUCGAUGCCAACAAUGAGACCAGCCCCCCGGAUCUCUCUGACGUGAGGGUGUCCACUCAGCUUAGUUUUGAGCAGCUGCUUGAAGUAUUCUCCUUUCCUAGUCACCUCUGCUAGAUACCCAGGUUUCUGGAUCUUGUCCAAUGUGGCCAAUGUAGCAUGGCACACAAAAGGGCCUCCGCCGAAUGCGGUUCCAUGGUCACCGUAGUUUAUGGCUGCAGCAACCUUUUCCGUGACCAAGGCCACGCCAAUGAGAAGACCAUUGGCCAGUGGCUUCGCCAAGCUCAUUAUGUUAGGUACUACACCAUAAACCUCAUGAGCCCAGAGGUAACAUGUGCGCCCCACACCACAUUGCACCUGCAUUUCAGAUAGUAGAUUAGAUGUCUCCACUUUUUAAACUGACAUAAGUUGAACUUCAAAGUGCAAUCCUAAAUCCCUACAAUUGAAUGAAUUGCCGAUUUGGGUAGUAUUACGAUGUGAUACGUUUCCAACGUAUCUAUAAUUUUUUAUUGUUCCAUGUUGUUAUAUUAUUAAUUUUGGACAUUUUAUAAUCAUUUUGUAGUCAUUGUAUGUCAUUUUUUGGUACUAACUUAUUGACAUAGUGCCAAGUGCAGUUGCUAUUUUUUGCAUGAUUUUACAUCGCAGAAAAUCAAUAUCAAACGGAGUCCAAAUGCAACGAAACUUUACGGAGAUUUUUUAUGGACCAAACGACACCUAAUGGGCCAAGCUACGCCUGGGGGUGCUCCUAGGAGAGCACAACCCACCAGGGCGCGCCAGGAGGCCCAGGCAUGCCCUGGUGGGUUGUGCCCACCUCGGGUGCCCCCCGGACCGCCUCUUUCCUCUAUAAAUACCCCAAUAUUCCAGAAAACCUAGGGGAGUCGACAAAAAUCAAUUCCAGCCACCACAGAGUCUAGAACCACCAAAUCCAAUCUAGACACCAUCACAGAGGGGUUCACCACUUCCAUUGGCGCCUCUCCGAUGAUGCGUGAGUAGUUCUUUGUAGACCUUCGGGUCCGUAGUUAGUAGCUAGAUGGCUUCUUCUCUCUCUUUUGAUUCUCAAUACAAUGGUCUCUUGGAGAUCCAUAUGAUGUAACUCUUUUUACAGUGUGUUUGUGGGGAUCGGAUGAACUUUGAGUUUAUGAUCAGAUCUAUCUUUUUAUAUCCAUGAAGGUUAUUUGAGAUUCUUUGCUCUCUUAUAUCCAUGAUUGCUUAUAGCCUCGUAUUUCUUCUCCGAUAUUUGGGUUUUGUUUGACCAACUUGAUCUAUUUAUCUUGCAUUGGGAAAAGGUGCAUCGUAGUUGGUUCAAUCUUACGGUGCUUGAUCCCAGUGACAGAAAGGGAACCCUGAGGAUGAACUACACCCUCCUCGUCAUGGAUAGCACAAGCGCGCUCGUGAUACAUCAAGAUCAUGCCAAAUCAAGAACACGAGAGAGAGAGAGAGAGAGAGAUCUCAAACACAUAGCUACUGGUACAUACCCUCAACCCUGAGAGUGAAUGUCACGCCCUCGAUGCGGCUAUAUCUCCCAUGUGUCGAAGAACGACUUAGAGGCAUAACCGCGUUGAAAGCAAUGUCGCAACUGAGGUAAUCUUCACACAACCCAUGUAAUACAUAAGGGACAGAGGUACAUAGUUGGCUUACAAUCGCCACUUCACACAAUACAUGAAUAAAGCAUUACAUCAUCCAUAUACAAUCAAGGUCCGACUAUGGAACCAAAAUAAAAGAAGACUACCCCAAAAGCUACACAGAUCCCCGAUCGACCCCAACUGGGCUCCACUACUGAUCAACUAGAACGAAACAACACAAAGGACAAGAUCUUCAUCGAGCUUCUCCUGAGCUUGGUUGCGUCAUCUGCACGGUAACCUCGGCACCUGCAAGCUGGUUUUGGAAGUAUCUGUGAGCCACAGGGACUCAGCAAUCUCACACCCUCGCGAUCAAGACUAUUUAAGCUUAUGGGUAAGGUGAAAGGUAUGAGGUGGAGCUGCAGUAAGCGACUAGCAUAUAUGGUGGCUAACAUACGCAAAUGAGAGUGAGAAGAGAAGGCAAAGCACGGUCGAUAAAAGUAUGGUCAAGAAGUGAUCCUAGAACAACCUACGUCAAGCAUAACUCCAACACCGUGUUCACUUCCCGGACUCCGCUGGAAAGAGACCAUCACGGUUACACACGCGGUUGAUGCAUUUUAAUUAAGGUCAACUUCAGGUUUUCUACAACCGGACGUUAACAAAUUCCCAUCUUCCCAUAACCACGGGCACGGCUUUCGAAAGUUCAAAACCCUGCAGGGGUGUCCCAACUUAGCCCAUCACAAGCUCUCACGGUCAACGAAGGAUAUUCCUUCUAGCGGGAAGACCCGAUCAGACUCGGAAUCCCGGUUACAAGACAUCCUCGACAAUGGUAAAACAAGUCCAGCAAGACCACCCGAUGCGCCGACAUCCCGAUAGGAGCUGCACAUAUCUCGUUCUCAGGGCAACACCGGAUAAGCAAUCCGUACAACUAAAACCAGCCCUCGAGUUUCCCCGAGGUGGCGCUGCAAGGGGCUCUAGUUUGGACCAACACUUAGACAAGCACUGGCCCGGGGGGUUUAAAAUAAAGAUGACCCUUGGGCUGGCAUAACCCAAGGGAAAAAAAGCUCGGUGGCAAAUGGUAAAACCAAUGUUGGGCCUUGCUGGAGGAGUUUUAUUCAAAGCGAACUGUCAAGGGGUUCCCAUUAUAACCCAACCGCGUAAGGAACACAAAAUCCGGGAACAUAACACCGAUAUGACGGAAACUAGGGUGGCAAGAGUGGAACAAAACACUAGGCAUAAGGCCGAGCCUUCCACCCUUUACCAAGUAUAUAGAUGCAUUAAUUAAAUAAGAUAUAUUAUGAUAUCCCAACAAGUAAACAUGUUCCAACAAGGAACAACAUCUCCAUGUUCCAACAAGGAACAAACUUCAAUCUUCACCUGCAACUAACAACGCUAUAAGAGGGGUUGAGCAAAGCAGUAACAUAGGCAAACAACGGUUUGCUAGGACAAGGUGGGUUAGAGGCUUGGUUCAACAAUAUGAGAGGCACGAUAAGCAAGUGGUAGGUAUCGCAGCAUAGGCAUAGCAAAAGAGCGAGCAACUAGCAAGCAAAGAUAGAAGUGAUUUCGAGGGUAUGGUCAUCUUGCCUGAGAUCCCGCAAGGAAGAAGAACGAGUCCAUGAAGAAGACAAACGGACGUAGUCGAACGGAUCCUCACAAACGCAACGUUAUCGGACCCAACCCGAAGAAGCAACACCGGAAAGAAGCACACAACAUAGUAAACAACCAACAAAUGAAUAUGGCAUGAUGCACAACUAAGUAUGAUGCAUGUCUGGUUUAAUGAUAGAUGGCAUGUCAAAGUGCACAAGCAAUCCUACAAAUUAAGUGGAGCUCAAUAUGCAUCGGGAUGCAUAUUGACAAAACACCACAUCAAUUAUUUAGUUCUCUCCCGUUUAAGUACUCAACAAUAUUAAAUGUUGGUUAACAUGGAAAGAGGUGAAGCAUAACAAAACUAUACCCAUUAAACAGUUUAAAUGGGGCCGGAUAUAACAAACAAGAAAUCCGGUAAAUCCCCAUAUGCAUUAGUAAUUUAUUGCAACAACAAUUUAAAUAUUUUAAUUGUUGUUAUCAUGAUGCGGAUGACAUGAACAAGUUUAUGCAAUUUUUAUUAAAAGUUGACAAGAGCAUUAUAAGGCAUUUGUCACCGUGGUGGAAGGGAAAAGGGUGCCAUGGCAACGAUAACGAAAAUGGUGCCACGGCAGCGUUCCAGUUCCGGUAACUCGAUUGAGAUACCGAUGCAAAGGAGAAGUGUGCGGAUGCGUGCAAAAAAUGGUGGGGCGCUCCCGGAUUCCGUGUGUCCCACGGGUUAGUGGCAUGGAAAACGAGUGACAAUACGGACACGGUGCAGACAAAGGGUGCAUCUCAUCCAACAUGCAUUCAUGCGUUCACGGGCGUCGUCUCGGGGUUAUUCCUUUGAAGCGUGCGUUUUCGAAGUGUAUCGAGUCGGCGUAGAGGAAGUAGUGGAAGUAGUCGUUCUCUCAUGCUCAAGGGUCGACGGUAGAGGUUCUCGCGAUCUCGGCGAUGGUAGUGGUACAUGUUUAUCGGUAGUCGAACAUGACGAUCCGGAGAGGGUACUUGGCAACAUGCACGUCGUCGGUAGUUGUACACAAUCGUUGUCGGACUUGACGGGUUCGAGGUCUCCGGGUGUAGUGGUACUUGGCGUCCCAUCGUGUAGUCGUUUGUCAUAGUCGGACUUGACAAAAUGCACACCGGCUAUAGUUGUACACGAUUCGUAGACGUUCGGGUCUCCCGUAGGGGUACUCGUUACAUCUCCAGGUGUAGUGGUACUUGUCAUAAUCCGAAAUGGUCUUGGCGAUCUUGACGGAUCCAAGUGACACCAGGCAUACGUCUAUGGUAGUCUUCGGACUUGGGCUCCGGGUAGAUGACUUGAGGGUCUCAGUCAGGAGCACUUGUGGCAAAGAAGUGCCCGUGAACGAGACGAUGCAGCACGAACAGGAGGCGGAUGUCACGCUCGGCGAGCGGCGGGGCUCCCUGGUCGGAGUCGGUAGGGACGGCACGACGCGGUGACGAAGGGGAGGUCGCAGGGAGAGCUGCUGGAGGUGGAUGCAGAGGGUCGAACAGGAACGUGGCGGCGCAGCAGCAGCUAGCGAGGCAUGGGGGAGGCCUUGCGCGGCGCCGGAGAUGGGGAACGGGUGGAACCGAGGUUCCCCGGCAGCAGGGACGGCGUCUAGCGAUGCGCGGCCUGGGUGGCUCGAUGCAGGACGCGGGAGGAGGCUAGAAGGCACGGCGGCGGCUUGUUGGACUUGGACGCGAUGGCGCAGCAGCAGAAAAGCUUCGGUGGAGAAAGCGGAGCGCUCGUGCUGCUCGGAAUUGAGCCUUUGCUCUCCCGAGCAAGGAGGCGGCGAUGGUGGUGGAGCGCUCUGGCGAGACGGGGACGCGGGGGAAGGAGUAGAGCGCGGCAGGGCAGGUCGGGUCGCCAGCACGGCAGGGCAAGUCGGGUCACCGACACGGGCGCCAUGGCUGGAGGCGGGGAGGCAGCGGCGAGGUCUUGCGACGUUCAUGGCGGGGCAAGGCAGGAACAUGAGGGGAGGAGGCUGCUGGAGGCGGCCGAUGCUCGAAGAGAGGAGAUCGUGAGGACGAGAGGGAGAUGGAUCGAGCGAGGUAGCACUCUCCCUCUCCUUGGCGAUGCGUGAGUGGCGGCGUGAGGGAGGAGAACGAGGGAAGGGAGUGGGGAUCCAGAGAAAGAGGUAGCGAUCGGUUAGGGUUAGAGCAGUGGGUUGUGGGAUGGCCUUGGGCCAAAUGGGCCUAGGCGCAGAUGGCUGGGAGGCCCAGCUGGGCUGACUUCCCCCCCCCCCCACUCUCUCUCUCUCUCUCAUAUUACUUUAGCAGAAAAGACCAAAAAAGAGAGGAAAAGAAAGAGAGGUUUACGAAAAGAUUUUGGACAAGGGGAUAAUUUUCCCGAACUCACAAAAAUACGCUUGUUCUGAGAAAAUGGAGAAGGCCAAGAUUGGAAGAUGUAAAUUCAAACUCAUUUGAAUUUAAUUCAAAUGGGUUUGAACUAGGACUAGGUUCUAGGAGUUUCCAAAAAUGUUGAGAAUUUUGGUAGACCUCCGGAAAAUGAUGAAAGAAUAAAUGGCAAGGUUCGAGGUCAAGCAGCAAGAUAACAAAGGCAUGGGGAAAUUUGCAAGUGUGUUUUAGGUGAUUCCAUAAGAAUGGAUUAUUUUAUAAUAUCUCCACUAAUAUAGGGAGGAUAUAUUAUAAAGAGAAGUCAUCCUUCCCUCGAUUUAAAUGGAUCGAAGAUCCACACAAAUUAUUUAGUUGAGAUGCAAAAGAUUUAUGACAUGAUGCAAAGAUGAAUGCAACAAACCAACAACUCACACGACGAAAACCCGGAAACCCUGGAAGGCAUCUGAAGCUCCGGCCUUGGGGCGUCACAACACUCCACCACUAUGAGAGGAUCUCGUCCCGAGAUCUAGAAUAGCACCAGAGGGAAAACAGAAGAGAAAGAGAAGAGGUAAAACUAAGUUGCUUUUUUGACAAACGAGUGAAACCAAGAAACCUUGAAAAGUUGAACAAAUUGAAAGAAAGAAUACAACAGGGAUGAACGAAAUUGAAAACACACCGCUAGAAAAGACGAACAAGGGAGAACAUCUUCGGACAGCACUCCGGUUAAAUGGAUAAGCACGAAAAACAUGAUCUUUGACAAAACGAGAUGAUGGGUGAAAAGAACAACAUCGCAAUGCCUCCGAGAGAGAGAAAUAGAAGCUAGAUCAUUGAAAUAAAAGAAUGGAGAAGAAAAGCCAACUUCUGUCACAAAAGAGUUUGAAAAGGCAUCCUUAGGAGAAGGGUCGAACGGAGUUGUUGGAAAAACCAACAACGAAAAGAGUAAGCUUGUAGUGGGUUUAUGGAAAACAUCUCAAAACCAAGAGGUGAAAAUCUGCCACUAACGGAAACGAUAUAUUGGACUGAUAACAACAAGGAGAUGAGAAACUUAUCUCACCGAUAGGAUAAAUGAAGAACAUGGAUCAUUUAUAAGCACCAUAACUAGCAACAAUCCUUAGGGAAGGCUAUAGGUGAAAUAUGACACAAGAUAACUCGAACGAAGAGAUUGGUGGAUUUAAAACACCUCAUUCUUAACAACAUGUGAAUCAUGAAACAUGAACUCAAGUUAUCAAGAAUGACAUAAUACCACCUCCAAUGAUACGGAAGAAAGAAUUGCACUCCGGAUAGCAAGAAGAAGAAUGCUUGAGCUCCUCUGAAAAGAAUCUUGAUGAACACUUCGAGAAGGAAUUAAAUCCUUGAUGAACCAUCACGUAGAACCUUCAUGAAGAACUCCGGUAAACGAAAAUCAAGAGAAGUUGGAAACACAAGGUGAAACAUUGUAAUGAUUUAGAUGGAUCUCCGUGAUAAUUAGAGCUUGGAACUCCGGGAAAAAAGAGGAGAUGAAAACAAUUGAAAACCAAGAGCUUGAUGAGCCUCCGGAAUAAGGAAUUAAAUCACUUGGAUGAAACAAGAAUAAGAAUUACAUUAUGCUUAUCCUUCACCAAAUUAAAUUGAUGACAAUCAACGGAUUUGGCAUAUUACUUAUUCUCGUAGAAAAGAUUAAGAGAGUAUAACAUCAGACUUGGGAAGGUCUUCAACGAAACACCGGUAGGAUUGAAAUAACGAAUGAAUUUGUAUGAUAAGGAAAGAAGAAGAAUCUUGAUCAAACCACCAUAAGAAUUAAAAAUGAAUGAAGUAAAGACAAAGAAACACCGGGAAGAAUUAUGAAAUGAAUGAAGAUACUUGUGAGGAUUUAGAUCCAUGAGAAUGAAGAGAUUACGAGCUCAUUAAAGAAUAUUGAAUGAUGCACCGGUGAGAUUUGGGGAACGAGAGCUGAAAACUGAGAAUGAAUAAACCUGAAUUGAAGGACUCUGGAUAAAAAUAACUGAGAAGACUCUUGAAUUGUUCCGGAUAGAUGAGAAGAAUUGCCACAAUCAAAACAAUUAUGAGAGGAUGGCCUCGAACUAGAACCACGAAUCUCUGAGAGAACGGAUAAGAUAUGAAGGUAAAGCUCUUCUUCGGUCUUCAAAUGUUGAGAGUGACGACGAGAAACAUCACCAUGAAUUGUUAAGAUACUCUGGAAUGAAAAAUGGAAAGGCUGAGUCAACGGUAAAAAUAAUUUGAAAGAUCUUGGAGAAAGACAUUUGACUGAUGACAAUUCAUUCUCACGUCAAACUUUAAGAAUUUGAGGAUAGCUCCGGGAAAAUAAGAAGAGUCAAGUAAGAUCCUGGAAAAAGACAUGUGGGUUAGGGCCCACUGAGAAGAAACACCGUUGAAAUGAUUUAAAAGAGAGGAUUGCACCGGUUGAAUUAAAUGACUUGAAUGAGAGAAGAUCCUCGAAAGAUCUUGAAUGAAUGCAGAGUGGAAAACACGAAUCUUUGAGACAUCUUGAGCACUCCGGAACAAUUGAAUAGUGAGAUGUGAGAGAUUAAGAUUUGCAACGGCAUGGGAAAACAUUUGAAAUGAGGAAAGGGAUAUGAUCGACGAAGCUUGACUUGAAACCACCGGAGAUGAAAAGAAUGAAGAAUGACGAACUUGAAGCUCCAUUAGAAUCUUCAUGAGAAUCACCGAAUAAGAACAUUGACAGAAAAGGAAUAGAGAGGCUUCCCAUGAACAAAAUGAUACUUGAAUAAGAAAUUUGAGUUCUUGAAGAGAAGGGUGGGAGGGAGGGAAAACAAAGGCAACUUCGAGACGGAUGAAACAAACACCGUUCAGAAGAAACUGAUACUUGAUCUUGCGGAUGUUGAAAUGAUCGGCUUCACUUGAAGAGAAAACACACCGGUUAAAAAGGAUUGACAAAAACAAUCUUGAUGAACAUGAAGGAUUUGUAUUCGCAUCGGAGUAUGAGAACACCACUAUGAGAAAGGUAUGGAAUCAACAUUUGACUUCGAAGCAACUCGAAUACCACAUCUCAAAACAAAACAAGGAUUGGCUUGCAGAAUAAGCCAGAACAAACAUAUGAUAGAGAUUUCGUCCGAAGUUUUCAUGGUGGGGCCUACAUGGGCUCAAUCGUACAGGACCAUCAUGUACAAGGCAGUGCACAUGACAUACGAAGCAUCCCCGAGUCGGCAUAGCCAAGGACUCUUUAAGACACUACGAGACCACUGUAAAACCAACCGUGGAUAGGCGGACCAUUAGACGUCGAACCCCAAUUUCAGAUCAUACAUCUGUCGAAAAGAUAUCCUAAGAGCUACUUGAAUUACCACUUAUAAACUCCCAAAAUUUUCCGGUUAUGCAAUCAGGUGUUGGGGAUACAGGGGAAGCAUAAUAUCUCACCCAAAACUAACAAAUCCUACAUCCAGCUGUAUCCAUCCUUCAACACAUAACCAAGAAACCUUCGGAAAUCAUCUACCUCAACCUUCGAAAAGCAUCCCUUAUACGAGUUAUGGCGAUACUCCGGAACUCCCGCCCCAGUACUGGGUGGCGUCGAGGUUAUCUCACCAACAACUGCAUAAAAGAGAUUUUCGAUGUCGGCGAAUUAAACUCAGGUAUUCCAGAACUGCAACGAUAAAAUUGUGAUGACAACACCUCGGAGCUCAACUCCCCGCGACACCGCCACAACCCCUAAAUGUCAGGAGGCACCAAGAACAAUGUUCUCGUCACAAAACCAUCGGAACGAUUCCAAAAUACCUGCGUGAUCCUAAAAAAAUUUAGUGAAAAUUUGAGAAGAGAAGAGUCAAAACUCUACGUCAGGAUGCCUUACCAGAGCGAUGAAGGGACUGGGGAGUAAAAAGAAUUCCUAAACUCUCCGACAUAUAAUUCCUAAUGACUCAAAACAUUUUUCUAGACUCAACAACGGCAGCUAAUUCGAUCAAGCAGUGGGGCUCCUAAGGUCGGGGAAGGCUCUGAUACCAACUUGUCACGCCCUCGAUGCGGCUAUAUCUCCCAUGUGUCGAAGCACGACUUAGAGGCAUAACCGCAUUGAAAGCAAUGUCGCAAGUGAGGUAAUCUUCACACAACCCAUGUAAUACAUAAGGGACAGAGGUACAUAGUUGGCUUACAAUUGCCACUUCACACAAUACAUGAAUAAAGCAUUACAUCAUCCAGAUACAAUCAAGGUCCGACUACGGAACCAAAAUAAAAUAAGACUACCCCAAAAGCUACACAGAUCCCCGAUCGACCCCAACUAGGCUCCACUACUGAUCAACUAGAACGAAACAACACAAAGGACAAGAUCUUCAUCGAGCUUCUCCUGAGCUUGGUUGCGUCAUCUGCACGGUAACCUUGGCACCUACAAGCUAGUUUUGGAAGUAUCUGUGAGCCACAGGGACUCAGCAAUCUCACACCCUCGCGGUCAAGACUAUUUAAGCUUAUGGGUAAGGUGAAAGGUAUGAGGUGGAGCUGCAGUAAGCGACUAGCAUAUAUGGUGGCUAACAUACGCAAAUGAGAGCGAGAAGAGAAGGCAAAGUGCGGUCGAUAAAAGUAUGAUCAAGAAGUGAUCCUAGAACAACCUAUGUCAAGCAUAACUCCAACACCGUGUUCACUUCCCGGACUCUGCUAGAAAGAGACCAUCAUAGUUACACACGCGGUUGAUGCAUUUUAAUUAAGGUCAACUUCAGGUUUUCUACAACCGGACGUUAAAAAAUUCCCAUCUGCCCAUAACCGCGGGCACGACUUUCGAAAGUUCAAAACCCUGCAGGGGUGUCCCAACUUAGCCCAUCACAAGCUCUCACAGUCAACGAAGGAUAUUCCUUCUAGCGGGAAGACCCGAUCAGACUCGGAAUCCCGGUUACAAGACAUCCUCGACAAUGGUAAAACAAGUCCAGCAAGACCACCCGAUGCACCGACAUCCCGAUAGGAGCUGCACAUAUCUCGUUCUCAGGGCAACACCGGAUAAGCAAUCCGUACAACUAAAACCAGCCCUCGAGUUUCCCCGAGGUGGCGCUGCAAGGGGCUCUAGUUUGGACCAACACUUAGACAAGCACUGGCCUGGGGGGGUUUAAAAUAAAGAUGACCCUUGGGCUGGCCUAACCCAAGGGAAAAAAAGCUAGGUGGCAAAUGGUAAAACCAAUGUUGGGCCUUGCUGGAGGAGUUUUAUUCAAAGCGAACUGUCAAGGGGUUCCCAUUAUAACCCAACCGCGUGAGGAACACAAAAUCCGGGAACAUAACACCGAUAUGAUGGAAACUAGGGAGGCAAGAGCGGAACAAAACACUAGGCAUAAGGCCGAGCGUUCCACCCUUUACCAAGUAUAUAGAUGCAUUAAUUAAAUAAGAUAUAUUAUGAUAUCCCAACAAGUAAACAUGUUCCAACAAGGAACAACAUCUCCAUGUUCCAACAAGGAACAAACUUCAAUCUUCACCUGCAACUAAUAACGCUAUAAGAGGGGCUGAGCAAAGCGGUAACAUAGCCAAACAAUGGUUUUCUAGGACAAGGUGGGUUAGAGGCUUGGUUCAACAAUAUGGGAGGCACGAUAAGCAAGUGGUAGGUAUCGCAACAUAGGCACAGCAAAAGAGCGAGCAACUAGCAAGCAAAGAUAGAAGUGAUUUCGAGGGUAUGGUCAUCUUGCCUGAGAUCCCGCAAGGAAGAAGAACGAGUCCAUGAAGAAGACAAACGGGCGUAGUCGAAUGGAUCCUCACAAACGCAACGUUAUUGGACCCAACCCGAAGAAGCAACACCGGAAAGAAGCACACAACAUAGUAAACAACCAACACAUGAACAUGGCAUGAUGCACAACUAAGUAUGAAGCAUGUCCGGUUUAAUGAUAGAUGUCAUGUCAAAGUGCACAAGCAAUCCUACAAAUUAAGUGGAGCUCAAUAUGCAUCGGGAUGCAUAUUGACAAAACACCACAUCGAUUAUUUAGUUCUCUCCCGUUUAAGUACUCAACAAUAUUAAAUGUUGGUUAACAUGGCAAGAGGUGAAGCAUAACAAAACUAUACCCAUUAAACAGUUUAAAUGGGGCCGGAUAUAACAAACAACAAAUCCGGUAAAUCCCCAUAUGCAUUAGUAAUUUAUUGCAACAACAAUUUAAACAUUUUAAUUGUUGUUAUCAUGAUGUGGAUGACAUGAACAAGUUUAUGCAAUUUUUAUUAAAAGUUGACAAGAGCAGUAUAAGGCAUUUGUCACCGUGGUGGAAGGAAAAAGGGUGCCACGGCAACGAUAACGAAAACGGUGCCACGACAGCGUUCCAGUUCCGGUAACUCGAUUGAGAUACCGAUGCAAAGGAGAAGUGUGCGGAUGCGUGCAAAAAAUGGUGGGGAGCUCCCGAAUUCCGGGUGUCCCACGGGUUAGUGGCAUGGAAAACGAGUGACAAUACGGACACGGUGCAGACAAAGGGUGCAUCUCAUCCAACAUGCAUUCAUGCGUUCACGGACGUCGUCUCGGGGUUAUACCUUUGAAGCGUGCAUUUUUUAAGUGUAUCGAGUCGGCGUAGAGCAAGUAGUCGUUCUCUCAUGCUCAAGGGUCGACGGUAGAGGUUCUCGCGAUCUCGGCGAUGGUAGUGGUACAUGUUUAUCGGUAGUCGAACAUGACGAUCCGGAGAGGGUACUUGGCAACAUGCACGUCAUCGGUAGUUGUACACAAUCGUUGUCGGACUUGACGGGUUUGAGGUCUCCGGGUGUAGUGGUACUUGGCGUCCCAUCGUGUAGUCGUUUGUCGUAGUCGGACUUGACAAAUGCACACCGGCUAUAGUCGUACACGAUUCGUAGACGUUCAGUUCUUCCGCAGGUGUACUCGUUACAUCUCCAGGUGUAGUGGUACUUGUCAUAAUCCGAAACGGUCUUGGCGAUCUUGAAGGAUCCAAGUGACACCAGGCAUAUGUCCACGAUAGUCUUCGGACUUGGGCUCCGGGUAGAUGACUUCAGGGUCUCAGUCAGGAGCACUUGUGGCAAAGAAGUGCCCGUGAACGAGACGAUGCAGCACGAACAGGAGGCGGAUGUCACGUUCGGCGAGCGGCGGGGCUCCCUGGUCGGAGUCGGUAGGGAUGGCACGAGGCGGUGACGAAGAGGAGGUCGCAGGGAGAGCUGCUGGAGGUGGAUGCAGAGGGUCGAACAGGAACGUGGCGGCGCAGCAGCAGCUUGCGAGGCAUGGGGGGGCUUGCGCGGCACCGGAGACGGGGAACGGGUGGAACCGAGGUUCCCCGGCAGCAGGGACGGCGUCUGGCGAUGCCCGGCCCGGGCGGCUCGAUGCAGGACGCGGGAGGAGGCUAGAAGGCGCGGCGGCGGCUUGCUGGACUUGGACGCGAUGCAGGACGCGGCAGGGCAAGUCGGUUCACCGACGCGGGCGCCAUGGCCGGAGGUGGGGAGGCAGCGGCGAGGUCUUGCGACGUUCAUGGCGGGGCAAGGCAGGAACGUGAGGGGAGGAGGCUGCUGGAGGCGGCCGAUGCUCGAAGAGAGGAGAUCGUGAGGAUGAGAGGGAGAGGGAUCGAGCGAGGCAGCACUCUCCCUCUCCUUGGCGAUGCAUGAGUGGCGGCGCGAGGGAGGAGAACGAGGGAAGGUAGUAGGGAUCGAGAGAAAGAGGUAGCGAUCGGUUAGGGUUAGAGCAGUGGGCUACGGGAUGGCCUUGGGCCAAAUGGGCCUAGGCGCAGAUGGCUGGGAGGCCCAGCUGGGCUGACUUCCUCCCCACUCUCUCUCUCUCAUAUUACUUUAGCAGAAAAGACCAAAAAACAGAGGAAAAGAAUGGGAGGUUUAGGAAAAGAUUUUGGACAAGGGGAUAAUUUUCCCGAACUCACAAAAAUACGCUUGUUCCGAGAAAAUAGAGAAGGCCAAGAUUGGAAGAUGUAAAUUCAAACUCAUUUGAAUUUAAUUCAGAUGGGUUUGAACUAGGACUAGGUUCUAGGAGUUUCCAAAAAUGUUUAGAAUUUUGGUAGAGCUCCGGAAAAUGAUGAAAGAAUAAAUGGCAAGGUUUGAGGUCAAGCAGCGAGAUAACAAAGGCAUGGGGAAAUUUGCAAGUGUGUUUUAGGUGAUUCCAUAAGAAUGGAUUAUUUUAUAAUAGCUCCACUAAUAUCGGGAUGAUAUAUUAUAAACAGAAGUCAUCCUUCCCUCGAUUUAAAUGGAUUGAAGAUCCACACAAAAAUUUUAGUUGAGAUGCAAAAGAUUUAUGACAUGAUGCAAUGCACAUGAUGCAAAGAUGAAUGCAACAAACCAACAACUCACACGACAAAAACCCGGAAACCUUGGAAGGCAUCUGAAGCUCCGGCCUUGGGGCGUCACAGUGAACUACUCCCUCCUCGUCAUGGAGAGCAUCGAGAUGAUGAAGACGGCCAACGGUGAUGCUUUCCCCCUGUGGCAGGGUGCUGGAACAGGGUCCCGAUUGGUUUUUGGUGGCAACAGAGGCUUUCGGCGGCAGGACCCUGAUGUCUACUACACAACCUUCUUCUUAUAGACGUUGUUGGGCCUCCAAGUGCAGAGGUUUGUAGGACAGUAGCAAAUUUCCCUCAAGUGGAUGACCUACGGUUUAUCAAUCCGUAGGAGGCUAGGAUGAAGAUGGUCUCUCUCAAGCAAUCCUGCAACCAAAUAACAAAGAGUCUCUUGUGUCCCCAACACACCCAAUACAAUGGUAAAUUGUAUAGGUGCACUAGUUCGGUGAAGAGAUGGUGAUACAAGUGGUAUAUGGAUAGUAGAUAAUGGUUUUUGUAAUCUGAAAAUAUAAAAACAGCAAGGUAACUAAUGAUAAAAGUGAGCGUAAACAGUAUUGCAAUGCUAGGAAACAAGGCCUAGGGUUCAUACUUUCACUAGUGCAAGUUCUCUCAACAAUAAUAACAUAAUUGGAUCACAUAACUAUCCCUCAACAUGCAACAAAGAGUCACUCCAAAGUCACUAAUAGCGGAGAACAAACGAAGAGAUUAUGGUAGGGUACGAAACCACCUCAAAGUUAUUCUUUCCAAUCAAUCCGUUGGGCUAUUCCUAUAAGUGUCACAAACAGCCCUAGAGAUCGUACUAGAAUGACACCUUAAGACACAAAUCAACCAAAACCCUAAUGUCACCAAGACACUCCAAUGUCACCUCAAGUAUCCGUGGGUAUGAUUAUACGAUAUGGAUCACACAAUCUCAGAUUUAUCUAUUCAACCAACACAUAGAACCUCAAAGAGUGCCCCAAAGUUCCUACUGGAGAAUCACGAUGAAAACGUGUGCCAACCCCUAUGCAUAGGUUCAUGGGCGGAACCCGCAAGUUGAUCACCAAAAACAUACAUCAUGUGAAUCACGUGGUAUCCCAUUGUCACCUCAGAUAGGCACGGUAAGACAUACAUCAAGUGUUCUCAAAUCUUUAAAGACUCCAUCGAUAAGAUAACUUCAAAGGGAAAACUCAAUCCAUUACAAGAGAGUAGAGGGGGAGAAAACAUCAUAGGAUCCAACUAUAAUAGCAAAGCUCGCGAUACAUCAAGAUUGUAUCACCUCAAGAACACGAGAGAGAGAGAGAGAGAGAGAGAGAUCAAACACAUAGCUACUGGUACAUACCCUCAGCCCCGAGGGAGAACUACUCCCUCCUCGUCAUGGAGAGCACCAGGAUGAUGAAGAUAGCCACCGGAGAGGGAUUGCCCCCUCCGGCAAGGUGCCGGAACGGGUCUAGAUUGGCUUUCGGUGGCUACGGAGGCUUCUAGCGGCGGAACUCCCAAUCUAUUGUGUUCCCCGAUGUUUUUAGGGUAUAUGGAGAUAUAUAGGCGGAAGAAGUACGCCGGGGGGCACGAGGGGCCCACGAGAGUGGAGGGCGCGCCCAGGGGGGUGGGCGCGCCCCCUGCCUCGUGGCUUCCUAUAGAUCCCCUGACGUGCACUCCAAGUCUUCUGGACUUCUUCUGAUCCAAAAAUAAGUUCCUGAAGUUUUAGGUCAAUUGGACUCUGCUUGGUUUUCCUUUUCUGCGAUAUUCUAAAACAAGAUAAAAACAGAAACUGGCACUGGGCUCUGGGUUAAUAGGUUAGUCUCAAAAAUCAUAUAAAAUAGCAUACAAAUGCAUAUAAAACUUCCAAGGUUGAUAAUAUAAUAGCAUGGAACAAUAAUAAAUUAUAGAUACGUUGGAGACGUAUCAGCAUCCCCAAGCUUAAUUCCUGCUCGUCCUCGAGUAGGUAAAUGAUAAAAACAGAAUUUUUGAUGUGGAAUGCUACCUAACAUAUUUAUCCAUGUAAUUCUCUUUAUUGUGGCAAGAAUAUUAAGAUCCAUAAGAUUCAAGACAAAAGUUUAAUAUUGACAUAAAAAUAAUAAUACUUCAAGCAUACUAACCAAGCAAUUAUGUCUCUUCAAAAUAACAUGGCCAAAGAAAGUUAUCCCUACAAAAUCAUAUAGUCUGGCUAUGCUCCAUCUUCACCACACAAUGUAUUCAAAUCAUGUGCAAACCCGAUGACAAGCCAAGCAAUUGUUUCAUACUUUUGGUGUUCUCAAACUUUUUCAAUCUUCACGCAAUACAUGAGUGUGAGCCAUGAACAUAGCACUAUAGGUGGAAUAGAAUGGUGGUUGUGGAGAAUACAAAAAGGAGAAGAUAGUCUCACAUCAACUAGGCGUAUCAACGGGCUAUGGAGAUGCCCAUCAAUAGAUAUCAAUGUGAGUGAGUAGGGAUUGCCAUGCAACGGAUGCACUAGAGCUAUAAGCGUAUGAAAGCUCAACAAAAGAAACUAGUGGGUGUGCAUCCAACUUGCUUGCUCACGAAGACCUAGGGCAUUUUGAGGAAGCCCAUCAUUGGAAUAUACAAGCCAAGUUCUAUAAUGAAAGAUUCCCACUAGUAUAUGAAAGUGACAACAUAGGAGACUCUCUAUCAUGAAGAUGAUGGUGCUACUUUGAAGCACAAGUGUGGUAAAAGGAUAGUAGCAUUGCCCCUUCUCUCUUUUUCUCUCAUUUUUUUAUUUUUUAUUUUUUUAUUUGGGCCUUCUCUUUCUAUGGCCUCUUUUAUCUUUUUUUUAUUUGAGCUUCUUUGGCCUCUUUUAUUUAUUUAUUUUCGUCCGGAGUCUCAUCCGGAUUUGUGGGGGAAUCAUAGUCUCCAUCAUCCUUUCCUCACUGGGACAAUGCUCUAAUAAUGAUGAUCAUCACACUUUUAUUUACUUACAACUCAAGAAUUACAACUCGAUACUUAGAACAAGAUAUGACUCUAUAUGAAUGCCUCUGACGGUGUACCGGGAUGUGCAAUGAUGCAUGAGUGACAUGUAUGAAAGAAUUAUGAAUGGUGGCCUUGCCACAAAUACAAUGUCAACUACGUGAUCAUGCAUAGCAAUAUGACAAUGAUGAAGCGUGUCAUAAUAAACGGAACGGUGGAAAGUUGCAUGGCAAUAUAUCCCGGAAUGGCUAUGGAAAUGCCAUAAUAGGUAGGUAUGGUGGCUGUUUUGAGGAAGAUAUAUGGUGGGUUUGUGGUACCGGCGAAAGUUGCGCGGUACUAGAGAGGCUAGCAAUGGUGGAAGGGUGAGAGUGCGUAUAAUCCAUGGACUCAACAUUAGUCAUAAAGAACUCACAUACUUAUUGCAAAAAUCUAUUAGUUAUCGAAACAAAGUAUUACGUGCAUGCUCCUAGGGGGAUAGAUUGGUAGGAAAAUACUAUCGCUCGUCCCCGACCGCCACUCAUCAGGAAGACAAUCAAUAAAUAAAUCAUGCUCCGACUUCAUCACAUAACGGUUCACCAUACGUGCAUGUUACGGGAAUCACAAACUUCAACACAAAUAUUCCUCAAAUUCACAACUACUCAACUAGCAUGACUCUAAUAUCACCAUCUUCAUAUCUCAAAACAAUCAUCAAGUAUUAAACUUCUCAUAGUAUUCAAUGCACUUUAUAUGAAAGUUUUAAUUAUAUCCCUCUUGGAUGCCCAUCAUAUUAGGACUAGUUUCAUAACCAAAGAAAACUACCAUUCUGUUCUAAAGACUCUCAAAAUGAUAUAAGUGAAGCAUGAGAGUUCAUCUAUUUUUAUAAAAUAAAACCACCACCGUGCUCUAAAAGGAUAUAAGUGAAGCACUAGAGCAAUGACAAACUACUCCUAAAGAUAUAAGUGAAGCUCAAUGAGUAGUCGAAUAAUUAUGCAACUAUGUGAAGACUCUCUAACAUUUAAGAAUUUCAGAUCUUGGUAUUUUAUUCAAAAAGAAAGUAAAACUAAAUAAAAUAAAUGACGCUCCAAGCAAAACACAUAUCAUGUGGCGAAUAAAAAUAUAGCUCCAAGUAAAGUUACCGAUGAACGAAGACGAAAGAGGGGAUGCCUUCCGGGGCAUCCCCAAGAUUAGGCUCUUGGUUGUCCUAGAAUAUUACCUUGGUAUGCCUUGGGCAUCCCCAAGCUUAGGCUCUUGCCACUCCUUAUUCCAUAGUCUAUCGAAUCUUUACCCAAAACUUGAAAACUUCACAACACAAAACUUAACAGAAAACUCGUAAGCUCCGUUAGCGAAAGAACACAAAACACCACUUCAAGGUACUGUAAUGAACUCAUUCUUUAUUUAUAUUGGUGUUAUAUCUACUGUAUUCCAACUUCUCUAUGGUUCAUACCCUCCGAUACUACUCAUAGAUUCAUCAAAAUAAGCAAACAACACAUAGAAAACAGAAUCUGUCAAAAACAGAACAGUCUGUAGUAAUCUGGAUCAAACUUAUACUUCUGAAACUCAUAAAAUUCUGAAAUAAAUUUCCUGACGUGAGGAAUUUAUCUAUUAAUCAUCUUAAAAAAUAAUUAACUAAAUAUCACUCUCCAAUAAAAAAUGACAGCAAUUCUCAUGAGCGCUAAAGUUUCUGUUUUUACAGCAUGAUCGCAAAGACUUUCCCCAAGUCUUCCCAACGGUUCUACUUGGCACAAACACUAAUUAAAACAUAAAAACACAUCUAAACAGAGUCUAGAUGAAUUAUUCAUUACUAAAUAGGAACACAAAGUAAGGAACUAAAAUAAAAUUGGGUUGCCUCCCAAUAAGCGCUAUCGUUUAACGCCCCUAGCUAGGCAUGAUGAUUUCAAUGAUGCUCACAUAAAAGAUAAGAAUUGAAACUUAAAGAGAGCAUCAAGAAGAAUAUGAAUAGCACAUUUACGUCUAACCCACUUCCUAUGCAUAGGGAUUUUGUGAGCAAACAACUUAUGGGAACAAUAAUCAACUAGCAUAUGAGGGCAAAACAAGCAUAACUCUAAAACUUUAAGCACAUAGAGAGGAAACUUGAUAUUAUUGCAAUUCCUACAAGCAUAUAUUCCUCCCUCAUAAUAAUUUUCAGUAGCAUCAUGAAUGAAUUCAACAAUAUAACCAGCACCUAAAGCAUUCUUUUCAUGAUCUACAAGCAUAGAAAUUUUAUUACUCUCCACACAAACAAAAUUCUUCUCAUGAUAAUAGUGGGAGCAAACUCAACAAAAUAAUUAUCAUGUGAGGCAUAAUCCAAUUGAAAACUAAAAUCAUGAUGAAAAGUUUCAUGGUUAUCAUUAUUCUUUAUAGCAUACAAGUCAUCACAAUAAUCAUCAUAGAUAGCAACUUUGUUCUCAUAAUCAAUUGGAACCUUUUCCAGAAUAGUGGAAUCAUUACUAAAUAAAGUCAUGACCUCUCCAAAUCCACUUUAAUCAAUAUAAUCAUCAUAAAUAGGAGGCAUGCUUUCAUCAUAAUAAAUUUGCUCAUCAAAACUUGGGGGACAAAAAAUAUCAUCUACAUCAAACAUAGCUUCCCCAAGCUUGUGGCUUUGCAUACAAUUAGCAUCAUGGAUAUUCAAAGAAUUCAUACUAACAACAUUGCAAUCAUGCUCAUCAUUCAAAUAUUUAGUGCCAAACAUUUUAUAGCAUUCUUCUUCUAACACUUUGGCACAAUUUUCCUUCCCAUCAUACUCAUGAAAGAUAUUAAAAAAAUGAAGCGUAUGAGGUAAACUCAAUUCCUUUUUUAUAGUUUUCUUUUAUAAACUAAACUAGUGAUAAAACAAGAAACUAAAAGACUUGAUUGCAAGAUCUAAAGAUAUACCUUCAAGCACUCACCUCCCCGGCAACGGCGCCAGAAAAGAGCUUGAUGUCUACUACACAACCUUCUUCUUGUAGACGUUGUUGGGCCUCCAAGUGCAGAGGUUUGUAGGACAGUAGCAAAUUUCCCUCAAGUGGAUGACAUAAGGUUUAUCAAUCCGUAGGAGGCGUAGGAUGAAGAUGGUCUCUCUCAAGCAACCCUGCAACCAAAUAACAAAGAGUCUCUUGUGUCCCCCAACACACCCAAUACAAUGGUAAAUUGUAUUGGUGCACUAGUUCGGCGAAGAGAUGGUGAUACAAGUGGUAUAUGGAUAGUAGAUAAUGGUUUUUGUAAUUUUAAAAUAUAAAAAUAGCAAGGUAACUAAUGAUAAAAGUGAGCGUAAACGGUAUUGUGAAGCUAGGAAACAAGGCCUAGGGUUCAUACUUUCACUACUGCAAGUUCUCUCAACAAUAAUAACAUAAUUGGAUCGCAUAACUAUCCCUCAACAUGCAACAAAGAGUCACUCCAAAGUCACUAAUAGCGGAGAACAAACGAAGAGAUUAUGGUAGGGUACGAAACCACCUCAAAGUUAUUCUUUCCAAUCAAUCCGUUGGGCUAUUCCUAUAAGUGUCACAAACAACCCUAGAGUUCGUACUGGAAUAACACCUUAAGACACAAAUCAACCAAAACCCUAAUGUCACCUAGAUACUCCAAUGUCACCUCGAGUAUCCGUGGGUAUGAUUAUACGAUAUGCAUCACACAAUCUCAGAUUCAUCUAUUCAACCAACACAUAGAACCUCAAAGAGUGCCCGAAAGUUCCUACCGGAGAAUCACGACGAAAACGUGUGCCAACCCGUAUGCAUAGGUUCAUGGGCGGAACCCGCAAGUUGGUCACCAAAACAUACAUCAAGUGAAUCACAUGAUAUCCCAUUGUCACCACAGAUAUCCACGGCAAGACAUACAUCAAGUGUUCUCAAAUCUUUAAAGACUCCAUCCGAUAAGAUUACUUCAAAGGGAAAACUCAAUCCAUUACAAGAGAGUAGAGGGGGGAUAAAACAUCAUAGGAUCCAACUAUAAUAGCAAAGCUCGCGAUACAUCAAGAUCGUAUCACCUCAAGAACACGAGAGAGAGAGAGAGAGAGAUCAAACACAUAGCUACUGGUACAUACCCUCAGCCCCGAGGGAGAACUACUCCAUCCUCAUCAUGGAGAGCACCGGGAUGAUGAAGAUGGCCACCGGAGAGGGAUUUCCCCUCCGGUAGGGUGCCAGAACGGGUCUAGAUUGGCUUUCGGUGGCUACGGAGGCUUCUGGCAGCGGAACUCUAGAUCUAUUGUGUUCCCCGAUGUUUUUAGGGUAUAUGGAGAUAUAUAGGCGGAAGAAGUACGUCAGGGGGGGCCACGAGGGGCCCACGAGGGUGGAGGGCGCGCCUAGGGGGGGUGGGCGCGCCCCCUGCCUUGUGGCUUCCUCGUAGAUCCCCUGACGUGCACUCCAAGUCUUCUGGGCUUCCUCUGAUCCAAAAAUAAGUUCCGUGAAGUUUCAGGUCAACUGCACUCCGUUUGGUUUUCCUUUUCUGCGAUAUUCUAAAACUAGGUAAAAAAAAGAAACUGGCACUGGGCUCCGGAUAAAUAGGUUAGUCCCCAAAAUCAUAUAAAAUAGCAUAUAAAUGCAUAUAAAACAUCCAAGGUUGAUAAUAUAAUAUCAUGGAACAAUAAAAAAUUAUAGAUACGUUGGAGACGUAUCAAACCCCCAAUCUAGGUUUAUUUCUAGGGGUUUCUAUAUUUAUAGGAAUUUUUGGCGUCGAGAACAAGUCAGGGGGGUCCACGAGUCAACCACAAGGUCGGAGGGCGUGCCCUAGGGGGUUGGGCACGCCCUCCACCCUUGUGGAGGCCUCGUGGCUCUUCUGGCCCAACUCUUUUGCUUCGGGGGCUUCUUCUGGUCCAUAAAAAAUCACUGUAAAUUUUCAGGUCAUUUGGACUCCGUUUGAUAUUCCUUUUCUGUAAAACUCAAAAACAAUGAAAAACAGAAACUGGCACUUGGCUCUAGGUUAAUAGGUUAGUCCAAAAAAUCAUAUAAAAUAGCAUAUAAAUGCAUAUAAAAUAUCCAAGAUUGAUAAUAUAAUAGCAUGGAACAAUCAAAAAUUAUACAUACAUUGGAGACGUGUGAUUCAUACUUUCACUAGUGCAACCUCCCAACUUUGCUAACAUAAUUGAAUGAUAUAACAAUCCCUAAACGUGCGACAAAGAAUCACUCCAAAGUUCUAAUCAAUAGAGAGAACAUAUGAUGAAAUUGUUGAAGGUAGUAAACCACCUCAAAAUUAUCCUUUCCGAUCAAUCUAUUGAGUCAUCCAUAUAAGUGACACAAACAACCCUAUAGUUCGUACUAAAAUAACACCAUAUGGUACGCAUCAAUCAGCUCUAAUGUCACCUAAAUACUCCAAUGUCACCACAAGUGUCCGUGAGUCAAUUAUUCGAUAUGCAUAAAAAAAUUCAGAUUCAUAAUAUUCAAUCCAGCACAAAGGACUUCAAAGAGUACCCCAAAGUUUCUAUCGGAGAAAGCCGGAUGAAAAUGUGUAUCAACCUAUGUGCCUAGAUUACCAAUGUCACCACCGGAAUCCACAGGUUGAUUACCAAAACAUAUAUCAAGCGACUCAAUAGAAUACCCCAUUGCCACCACGGGUAUCCAGAUGUAAGACAUACAUCAAGUGUUCUUAAAUCCAAAAGAUUCAGUCAGAUAAUAAUGAAAACUCAAAGGGAAAGACUCAAUUCAUCACAACAAGAUAGAGAGGGAAGAACACCAUAUGAUUCAUCUAUAUUAACAAAGCCCAUGGUACAUCAAGAUCAUGUCGGACCAAGAAGAAAAGAGAGAGAGAGAGAGAUCAAACACAUCGCUACUGGUACAUACCCAUAGCCCCGAGGGUGAACUACUCCCUCCUCGUUAUGGAGACCGUCGGGAUGAGGAAGAUGGCCUCUAGUGAUGAUUUCCCUCUCUGGAAAGGUGUCGGAAAAGGCCUCCAUUUGAGAUCUCUUCGGAACAAAGGCUUGUGACGGUGGCAUGGAAGUUCUAGGUUUCUUUCUGGGGGUUUCCCAAUUUAUAAGAAUUUCCAGCGUUGGUUUCCCACCAAUCGGAGUUACGUGGGACCCACGAGCUUAGAGGACAUGCCCUAACCCCAGGGAACAUGGGGUGAGCUCGUGACUCCCUCGUGGAUCUUCUAAUCCUUGCUCGAAGCUUCGGGGGUCUCUUAUGUUCCAUAAAAAAUCAUUGUAAAUUUCCGUGGCAUUUGGACUUCGUUUGGUAUGGAUUUUCUGCGAAAAAAGCAAAAAAACAUGAACUAGCACUGGGCACUAGGUCAAUAGGUUAGUCUAUCGAAAUCAUAUAAAAGUGCACCAAAACCAUGUAGAGUUUAGGUAAAUGUGGCAUGAAUUCUCCAUAAAUUAUAGAUACAUUGGAGAUGUAUCAUACCGCCAACACCGUCCAAAAUGGAACCAUCUGUAUUGAGUUUGACACGUCCAAUCGCUGGGGAAGUCCAUGGGACUAAAACAGUGGGGGCAAUAUUUCAUGUGUGUGAUGUAAGGGGGUAGCAAAACUGAACCAGAGCCCUUCAUUUUAGAAGGUCAUCAUCUGAAUGAAUUGCUAUGGAUUGCAAAGAUGAUUGAUAGUUUGACAAAAACUUGACUGAGACAUCCACUAGGGGCGGGUUUGGAGUGAACGAUUCUUACGUGCCAGAUUCUCAAAAAUAACAUCAACAGUCGCGCCCUUGUAUCCUCAUCAAUUUCCCAGAUAAAUUGGAUGAACCAAUUUGACCCAGUUGGUUUGAUACUCGAUGCUUCAGGUAGAGCCUAUACAACAACCAUGGCACACCAUAAAUUUCUUGCAUUUGUGCACGUACAGAACGUAUAGAAGGAGUCUUCAUAAUCGGAACCACAGAUCGGGCACAAGAGAAUUGACUCCAGCCUCCGUCUCUUUUUGUUACACCAAGUUGCAAGGGAGUUGUUUGCUGGCGCCAUGCAAAACUCAACACCUUUGGGGGCAUUGGGCAAGUCCACAGGGCCUUCCAGCCCUCACGCCGUCCAUUCGAAAGGUGGCUGGACGUAGAUUGUUCUGGAAAUCGGUAACCGGUAGCUGCUUGGUCGGCUUGGGAGUAGUGAUUAUCGGUGAAUUGGCCUAUUAACUAGAUUAAUCGGUCGAACACGAAUAUGUAGAUAAAAUAGAACCUACCAAUAUAUAUCUGAUUUUUAUGUAUUAUACCGUAGUCUCAUGCUCUCACCUAUGUAAUAAUAUACCAAAAUAUGCUACUGUUUGGUCGAACAUUGGCUAUUGAGGAGGGAGAGAUGGAUGGGAGGGGUUACGAGCCAACAUUUUGGGCUUUGUUUGCCCAGAAGUUAAUGGGCUGGCAGCGACUAAUCUACCUAACAACCGAUUAAUUGGGUGUAGUACUGAGUCUAUCAUAGUACUCUCGUACUGUUAUUGUGUUUCAGUUUGACCUCAUGUUUAAAUUUGAACAUUUGGUAUUUUGAAAUGCCGUAAUAUGCAAUGACCAUGUGCCCUAUUUUACAUCAUCAGCUAUGGCAGAAAAUAUCUGAUACCCUAUUUCAAAACAUUUCCUACGCAAAACAAAUCAGGCGCCCUAGUAUACAUCAUCUGUUGGAGAUGCUUUAAUACCAGGAUCAUCAAUAUUCUUAUACUACCUUGAGCCCCCACGUGCAAGUAGAGAACCCAAGACUGUUAGCACUAAUAAGAAAAAAAACAUCUAUAUGCUCAGAGGCCAAAGUUUUGGGUGGUGGCAAUUGUUGAGAGGGCGAUGGCAUCAUGUCCUUUUUUAAGGUGGACAUGGCGGUCGGUAGCCUCAACCGACUCCCAGGAUGACAACUAGGUAGCUUGGCAGCCUCCCUCCUGUUUUGACGAUGUUUAAUUAGUGAAGUUUAAUUAUGUGUACUUCAAACUAUUUAGGGUGUAUUUUGGAUUUGACUCAUAUUAACUAUGGAAUGUAAUUAAGUUAAGUGUUGAGUUAAAUUUUGUGGUAUGUCAUUUGAACUAUGAGUUGUUGUUUAAUUGUUGUUUAAUACCAUGUUGUGUUCAAUUUUGUGCUAUGCAAUUUGAAAAGGAUAGAUGUGUUGGGUCCCACAUGGCAGUGGCCAAUGUGAUCGAGCUAGGUCUAGGUCCCAUGCAUCAGUGAGGGGGCUCGUAGGGGCAAAUCGGUCAAUACAACGUCUCAUUAACGGUCAAACGACUUUCAUAGGAUGAAAUCGUGACAAAAGAGCAAAAGCAUAAGUGCACGCACGAAAACUAAGGGCAAAAGAGUAGGGUGAGCACGAACUAAUGACAAGAAUGUCAUUCUCAACACCAAAAAACAAAAUGUAAGAAUGUAACAUUUUUUCCUUGUUAGACGGCUCUCAUAUUGCUCAUGUUCUAAAAUAGGCUUUUUAAUUGUAUUGCAGUGUUGCUUGUUUGAUGGAAGCUUAGGGUGUUAUCUCAUGGAUUUAUAUCUUGUUUUCUCAAACUAAAAGAAAAGUUUCCAAUUGUAGCAAACCCCUUCUAUGAGGCCCAACAACUACUACUAAUCUAUUGGCUAUUGGGCGAACCAACCUGUGGCCUAGCCCAUCAGGGUUCAAGUCCUGCUGCGUGCAUUUAUCCUGGAAUUAUUUCACAAUUUCCGGCAAUGCGUGUUCAGAGGAAGGAGACGUUCCCAUCAACUACGAGGCGUCUACGGUGGCACUAGUAGAAAAAGGGGCUUUUGUGCGGGCCUGGCCAGCCCAUUAGUCCCGGUUCUUCCACGAACCGGGACCAAUGGAUGCAUUCGUCCCAGUUCGUGAGCCCAGGGGGGCGGCUAGGGCCUCUUGGGCAUUGGUCCCGAUUCGUAUGGACCCAUUUGUCCCGGUUCCAGGCACGAACCGGGACCAAUGGGCCUCGCUCCUGGCCCACAAACAUUGGUCUCGGUUCUUGGCUCGAACCGGGACAGACGGCUGGGCUUUAGUCCCGGUUCCAGCCAUGAACGGGGACAAAUGAGUUGCCUAUAUAUACCCCGUCGCUGCAACAGAGCACUCCAUAGUGCUCAGUUUUUUCUGGCCGGCAAGGAGAGGGCAUUUGGGUGCUCUAGCUCACCUCCUAUGCACACGAGGUGUUCGAUGAAAUGCCCAAGCCACGCUAGUUAAGCUUUCUCCUCUCGAAGCUCGACCUCCAAGCUCCAUUUUCCCCGAGAUUUGUCUAGGUUUAGCGGUCAGUCACGUCCCGUCCCCGUCUUCACCGUCGUUGAUCGCCCGCGCCGAUCUCGUCGCCUGCACCACUAUGGUGAGCCUCUUAUCUUCUUCUGAAAUAAAAAUAUUCUUACUUUAGAUAGAUACUUGUCUAAUUUUCUUACUUUUAUUAUUGCGUGUGCUUAUAUAGUGCGAUGGUUUUGGUAUCCGCCCCCAUCGGCCCUCGUCCUGACUAUGAUUCGGAUGUGGUAUAUAUUAUCUUUUAUAACUAUUUGGUUCAUUUAUUGUUUAGACGUAGGGUUGUUACCUCCUUCGAGAGGGGCCCGAACUCGUAAAACCCUUGUGUUACACAUGCACGGUAGCUAGGAUCAGCCCUUGUCCGUACCCUACUUCUUACUAUCAGAAUCAUAACCAUGAUAUCAGACACCGCACCACCACCUCCAUUGAGCCGAGGAUGCCGUGCCACACUGCUAGGCUGAGGAGCAGGACGCGCAAGGCUAGAACGCGAUCAAGAAGGAGGACGAGACUGGCCUCUCGCUGAUCAAGGAGGAGGACGAGGCAAGCCCCUCAGUGAUCAUGCUUGAGUCCGAUGACAAAGAAGAAGAGUUCGAGGUGGAUAGAGAGAUUGAGUCUUCAUGGAGCUUUGGAACCAUGUCGACGACGGGGAUCAUGGUGAUGAGUAGUGCGUGCGUAGUACCGAGUUUAUCGUAGUACUUUCAUAGUGUUAUUAUGUUUAAGUUUGCACUCGUGUUUAAGUAAGAACAUUUGGUAUUUCGAAAUGUCCUAAUAUGCAAUGACCAUGUGCCCUUUUCAUCAUCUGCUAUGGCAGAAAAUAUCUGCUGGCCUAUUUUUAAAUCAUCUGAUACACAUAAAAAAUCCAGUGCCCUAAAACUUUCUUUGGAUUCCCUAUUAUACAUCAUCCGUUGGAGAUGCUCUAAUAUCGAGGUCAUCAAUAUUCUUAUACUACCUUGAGCCCCCACGUGCAAGUGGCAUAACGGAUACUGUCGGGACUGAUAAUAAGAAAAACAUCUCUAUGCUCAAAGGCCAAAGUUUUGGGUGGUAGCAACUUUUGGGACGGCAAUAGUGUCAUCUCCUUUUAUAAGGUGGACUAGGUGGUAGGAUGCCUCAUCCGGCUCCCGGGAUGACAACUUGGUGGCUUUGGAGCCUCCCUCCUGUUACGGCGAUGUAUAAUUAGUGAAGUUUAAUUAUGUGUACGUCAAACUAUUUAGGGUUGUAUUUUGGACUUGAAGGUUCAAAUCGAUUGACUCGUAUUAACUAUGAACUGGUAUAUGAUUAAGUUAAGUGUUGAGUUCAAUUUUGUGGUAUGCCAUUGGAACUAUGAGUUGUUGUUCAAUACAGUGUUAAGUUCAAUUAUGUGAUAUGCCAUUUGAAAAGGAUAGAUGUGAUGGUCAAACGGCUUUGAAAUGACGAAAUCAUGAUAAAAGAGCAAAAGAGAAGAGUGAGGACCGACUAAUGGCAAAAAUAUCAUUCUCUCAAAAAAAGGUAAGAAUGUAAAUAUUUUCUUCUUAGACGGCCCUCACAUUGCUGAUGUUCGAAAUAGGCUUCUUUUUUGCGAAAAGGGUCUGAUCUACUAUAAAGAGUAAUUAUUUUCUUCUUAGACGGCCCUCACAUUGCGCAUGUUCUAAAUAGGCUUUUAAAUUGUAUUGCAGUGUUGCUUGUUUGAUGGAAGCUAAGGGUGUUAUCUCAUGGAUUGAUAUCUUGUUUUCUAAAACUAACAGAAAAGUUGCCAAUUGAAGCAAACACCUUCUAUGAGGCCCAGAAACUACUGCUAAUCGAUUGGCUAUUGGAGUCGUAAAAACCCAUCUCAUUUUGUGCAAGAAGCUAAAGAGCUCAGCCCGUGAUUCCCACAUAUCCAUCCGUUCUCUCACUCGAGAAGAUCAAGUCACUCAGGCGCAGUGCAGUGAGACGCUUUUCAUUAUCCAUCUUUUUUUGCGGGGUAUUCAUUAUCCAUCUUGUAUGUUAACUCUUCGAUCUCCAAAGAUAGUAUAAAAAUCUCAGAGUAAUCAAUAUAGUCCUUUUAUUCCCAAAAUAGAUUCAUAUGCACCGAUAAAUGCAUGAUCUGCAGCGUAUCCAAAAAAUAUAUGAACUGGCUGUAGGAAAUAUCGACCUUCUCCAAUGAAGUUAAUUCCGCCAAAUAAGUUCAGAUACGAGGAGGAUAAGGUUUACAUUUGGCACCCGGUUUCUGAAGGUCGCAAAAUCUCCUCACAUCGUCAAAACAAAUUAAUACUCGUUCAUGCAUGGCGCGUAAUUAUUCUAGGAUAUCAAUGCGUGCAUUUCUGAUGGAUUUGUUUCACCAAUCAAUAGUGGAUUGAAACCUUGUUUCUCUCACCCCACCUCCUUACUUGCGCCUAUAAAUACACUCGUCCCGUCGACGGGAGGAGCAUACUCGCUCAUCACUCUACUGCACACAUAAGGCAGUGGUACAAUACAACGAUAGGACCUAACAAGAAACUAGCCGGUAGUUUUUGUUGUAGAGAAACUAGCUAGUGAACGCCGAGGGACGACAAAGAUGGUGGCAAGUGUUGGAAUAAGCCACGGUAUGGGUGGUGAUCAUGUGCGUAUGUGCGCGAUGAUCGAGCCAGUCGCCGGUCCGUUGCCGUGUCGCGGCCGUGGCAAGGUGUACGUAUGGGCGUACAUGUGUAUCGUGUGUGCGUGCGCGCGCAUGCAUGGAGCGUGUAGGUGCACGAGUACGUGCUUGUGUUUGCGUCAAGGUCUAGAUCGAGUCCGGACGUUGGUUUGGCCACGUUCAAGGAUAGAUUAGAGUCAAGCCAGGUUUGUAGCUAGCUCCGUUGUGUAACAACAGCGGGCGCGUGAUGGCAUCCAGGUCAAGCGGAGGAGUGGCCAGCUCACGUUGGAUGACCGGAUCGCCAGGAAGCGUACGUGGGGUGACCGCGGCGUGCGUGGGCGCUACGUUCCGGUUAGCUACAAAUACGGCUGUAUAUCGAGUCAGUUGUAACAAUUCAAGCUGGAAAAAAUCGUUGUUUGGCAGCGAGGCGUUCGUCGCCACAAAAUCUCUGUGUGCUCACUUCUUCUUCUACCUCCGUCCCUAGAGAGCUAGCUAGGGUUAGACCCAACAGCAAGGGCUAGGGUGCUGCUCGUUGCCGCCGUGGUAUGGUUUUUGGCAACCACGGCGUGCCAAGCCGCCCAGCCGGACUACGCCACCGCGCUCACCAAGUCGCUGCUCUACUUCGAGGCGCAGCGCUCCGGUAGGCUGCCGCCGACUCAGCGCGUCCAAUGGCGCGGCGACUCGGCCCUCAAGGACGGCGCCGACCACGGGGUAAGCACGUCGGCGAUGCAUGCAUCUGUAUUACUACUCCCUCCGUUUCAUAUUACUCGUCACUGAUUUAGUAUGUGUUUGGUUCGUGCAUGAUGCUGACAUGCUUGAUCCAUCGAUGUGAAGGUGGAUCUCACCGGCGGCUACUAUGACUCCGGGGACAACGUCAAGUUCGGGUUCCCCAUGGCGUUCAUGGUGACGAUGCUCUCGUGGAGCGUGGUGGAGCACCGUGACCGGCUGGCCGCGGCGGGGGAGCUGGGCCACACGCUCCAGGCAGUGCGGUGGGGCGCCGACUACCUGGCCAAGACGCACGCCCACCCCGAUGUGCUCUACGUGAAUGUCGGCGACGGCAACUCAGACCAUGCGUGCUGGGAGCGGCCGGAGGACAUGGACACACCCCGGAGGGCCCACAUGGUGAACGCCACCCACCCAGGCUCCGACGUCGCUGCCGAGACGGCGGCAGCGCUGGCCGCUGCCUCCGUCGCGUUCACGGGGCCGCACGGCGACCCCCGGUAUGCGUUGACGCUUCUGAAGCACGCGAAAUAGGUGCAUAUUUUUACUUGCUUAUUAUAUUCAGAGAGACUGCUGCAUAUUUUGAGUUUUGGCACACGUAUGCAUAUUGCAUUGCAUGCACAGCACACAGAUUACACAACGGAUGGUAAAAAAACCAUUGGUGUAAUAGUACGGGUACUAAUAAGAAAAUAGAGCGGCGCACAUAUUAACCUGCCAUUUUCAUCGCGCAGUUAUAUACAUGCACAGCACAAAUUGAACGGUUUCUGUGGCUACAAUCAAUUUGAAAAUAAUGUGAGGGAAUUUAUUCAGCAAACCAUCUCAUAAAGCCGUGGUCAUAUAGUAGCUAAAAAUGAAUGUCAAAUGAAUUAAUUAUUGCUAGGAAACUGAAGGUGGACUUGUAUUUGUGCACACAGACAGACAAAAACUGUAUCAGCUAAUUUCGUCAAUCACUUGCUUCUGCAGUUGUUUCAGUUCGCCAAGAACCACCGUGGCCUCUACCAGAACAGCAUUCCAUCGGCCAGAAGUUUCUACAGUAGCAGCGGCGAUGAGGUAGGAAGCACAUCACUAAUUAAUGUCACAAUAAUGAACAGAAAAAAUAGCAGUAUUGUAAAGCAAAUACUGAAACUUGUUUGGAACAGGACGAGCUGCUGUGGGCAGCUGUCUGGCUCUACAUCGCCACCGGCCACCAGGAGUACAAGGCCUACAUCGCCGGCGCCAACAACGUCGGCGGGGUGCGGCAGUCGUUGGGCUGGGACGACAAGUUCGUCGGAGCCCAGGCACUGGUCGCCAAGGUAAAUGUACCAGAUGAUCUUAGUAGGUUUGAUGAAGCCACAACAAUUUUUAGCUUCAGUAACUGAUGACUAUGGCGGCCAUACUGCAGCUCAUCCUCCAAGGGAAGCUGCCCAACAACGGUCGCCACGCCGAGAUGAGGAGCAACGUGGAGAGCUUCCUCUGCAACGUCCUUCAUCACGGUGACGGCCGCAGCGGGCGGCUCACCCCGGGCGGCAUGCUCUACCUGCAGCCCUGGUCUAACCUGCAGGACGUCACGACGGCGAUGUUCGUCCUCAUCACGCACGCCGACCACCUGGCGGCGGCGAGGGCUUCCCUGCAGUGCGGCGGCGUGAGGCUGCCACCGGCGCAGCUCGUCUCGUUCGCACGGUCACAGGUGGACUACAUCCUUGGCAAGAACCCAAUGAAGAUGAGCUACAUGGUUGGGGUUGGAAAGAGGUACCCGUUGCAGCCGCACCACCGCGGCGCGUCGCUGCCAUCCAUUAGGAAAUACCCGGGGAAGAUCUCCUGCGGCAAGGGAGCCGAGUACUUCCACAGGUCUGCGCCCAACUUGAAUGUGAUUGACGGCGCCAUCGUCGGAGGGCCUGACAACAACGACCAUUACGACGAUUCUCGGGGAAAUUACCAGCAAGGCGAGCCAUCGACAUACACUGUCGCGCCCAUCGUCGGAGUUAUUCCUAGGCUUCUGCAUAACUGAUGUUCCUGUUUUCAGUCAAGAGAUGUGCAAUGUCAAUGCCAUCCUUGUAAUUUUCUUAUACCGACAACAACACAGGCAUUGUUUCCUUCCAGACUUUGAAAAGAACUUCAACAUCACCAUAGUCCAACUUGACAUUUCAUUCCCUUCCAAAUUUGUAAGAAACUUCAACAUGUAGAUCUCAUCAUAUUGGCAAGAGUUCUUGUUUACACUAAGGGGUAGAGGCUUCAAGAGCAGGUAGACAUUCCCUUAUCACCUCUGCAGCUUGCUCCAGCUCCUUCUCCGACACGAUGAGCG
rnacentral:lncRNA from 1 species